GACAAACGCUGGCGGCGUGCUUAACACAUGCAAGUCGAACGGACCCUUUGGGGUUAGUGGCGAACGGGUGAGUAACACGUGGGUGAUCUGCCCUGCACUUUGGGAUAAGCCUGGGAAACUGGGUCUAAUACCGGAUAGGACUACGCACUGCAUGGUGUGUGGUGGAAAGCUUUUGCGGUGUGGGAUGGGCCCGCGGCCUAUCAGCUUGUUGGUGGGGUGAUGGCCUACCAAGGCGACGACGGGUAGCCGGCCUGAGAGGGUGACCGGCCACACUGGGACUGAGAUACGGCCCAGACUCCUACGGGAGGCAGCAGUGGGGAAUAUUGCACAAUGGGCGCAAGCCUGAUGCAGCGACGCCGCGUGAGGGAUGACGGCCUUCGGGUUGUAAACCUCUUUCGCCAGGGACGAAGCGCAAGUGACGGUACCUGGAGAAGAAGGACCGGCCAACUACGUGCCAGCAGCCGCGGUAAUACGUAGGGUCCGAGCGUUGUCCGGAAUUACUGGGCGUAAAGAGCUCGUAGGUGGUUUGUCGCGUUGUUCGUGAAAACUCACAGCUUAACUGUGGGCGUGCGGGCGAUACGGGCAGACUGGAGUACUGCAGGGGAGACUGGAAUUCCUGGUGUAGCGGUGGAAUGCGCAGAUAUCAGGAGGAACACCGGUGGCGAAGGCGGGUCUCUGGGCAGUAACUGACGCUGAGGAGCGAAAGCGUGGGGAGCGAACAGGAUUAGAUACCCUGGUAGUCCACGCCGUAAACGGUGGGUACUAGGUGUGGGUUUCCUUCCUUGGGAUCCGUGCCGUAGCUAACGCAUUAAGUACCCCGCCUGGGGAGUACGGCCGCAAGGCUAAAACUCAAAGGAAUUGACGGGGGCCCGCACAAGCGGCGGAGCAUGUGGAUUAAUUCGAUGCAACGCGAAGAACCUUACCUGGGUUUGACAUGCACAGGACGCCGGCAGAGAUGUCGGUUCCCUUGUGGCCUGUGUGCAGGUGGUGCAUGGCUGUCGUCAGCUCGUGUCGUGAGAUGUUGGGUUAAGUCCCGCAACGAGCGCAACCCUUGUCUCAUGUUGCCAACACGUUAUGGUGGGGACUCGUGAGAGACUGCCGGGGUCAACUCGGAGGAAGGUGGGGAUGACGUCAAGUCAUCAUGCCCCUUAUGUCCAGGGCUUCACACAUGCUACAAUGGCCGGUACAAAGGGCUGCGAUGCCGUGAGGUGGAGCGAAUCCUUUCAAAGCCGGUCUCAGUUCGGAUCGGGGUCUGCAACUCGACCCCGUGAAGUCGGAGUCGCUAGUAAUCGCAGAUCAGCAACGCUGCGGUGAAUACGUUCCCGGGCCU
rnacentral:rRNA from 1 species